CAGUGGCAGGUGAUCAGCAUCCAA
rnacentral:misc_RNA from 1 species